rnacentral:rRNA from 1 species
GUAGGUGGCAAGCGUUGUCCGGAAUUAUUGGGCGUAAAGCGCGCGCAGGCGGUCCUUUAAGUCUGGGUGUGAAAGCCCACGGCUCAACCGUGGAGGGUCAUUGGAAACUGGGGGACUUGAGUACAGAAGAGGAAAGCGGAAUUCCAAGUGUAGCGGUGAAAUGCGUAGAGAUUUGGAGGAACACCAGUGGCGAAGGCGGCUUUCUGGUCUGUAACUGACGCUGAGGCGCGAAAGCGUGGGGAGCAAACAGGAUUAGAUACCCUGGUAGUCCACGCCGUAAACGAUGAGUGCUAAGUGUUAGGGGGUUUCCGCCCCUUAGUGCUGCAGCUAACGCAUUAAGCACUCCGCCUGGGGAGUACGGCCGCAAGGCUG